rnacentral:rRNA from 1 species
CCUACGGGCGGCUGCAGUGGGGAAUCUUGCACAAUGGGGGAAACCCUGAUGCAGCGACGCCGCGUGAACGAUGAAGCCCUUCGGGGUGUAAAGUUCUUUCGGCAGGGACGAUAAUGACGGUACCUGCAGAAGCAGCUGCGGCUAACUACGUGCCAGCAGCCGCGGUAAUACGUAGGCAGCAAGCGUUGUUCGGAAUUACUGGGCGUAAAGAGUGCGUAGGCGGUUGGCUAAGUUUGAUGUGAAAUCUCCCGGCUUAACUGGGAGGGUGCGUCGAAAACUGGUCAGCUAGAGUGCGGGAGAGGAUAGUGGAAUUCCUGGUGUAGCGGUGAAAUGCGUAGAUAUCAGGAGGAACACCUGAGGUGUAGACGGCUAUCUGGACCGUAACUGACGCUGAGGCACGAAAGCGUGGGGAGCAAACAGGCUUAGAUACCCCUGUAGUC